UACAGAGGGUGCAAGCGUUAAUCGGAAUUACUGGGCGUAAAGCGUGCGUAGACGGUUACAUAAGUCAGAUGUGAAAGCCCCGGGCUCAACCUGGGAAUUGCAUUUGAGACUGUGUAGCUAGAGUGCGGAAGAGGCGAGUGGAAUUCCUGGUGUAGCGGUGAAAUGCGCAGAUAUCAGGAGGAACACCUAUUGCGAAGGCAGCUCGCUGGGACGUAACUGACGCUGAGACGCGAAAGCGAGGGGAGCAAACGGG
rnacentral:rRNA from 1 species